rnacentral:lncRNA from 1 species
GUAAAGGUAUUUAUAGAUUUGUUUUCUCCCUAAUAUCCAACACUUGGAAGACGCGUGGUGAUGUGAAUCAGUUUCGUGUCUUGAGAAGUGGGAGAGUUGGUAAUAGGUGGCAAAAUUCAUACGAGUUGAGCAGUUAAUGAAGACGUGCAAAAAAGCAUGAUCUCCUAGAAACUAGGACCAAUGACGACAUUCUGAAUUUUU